GUGUACGGCCAUGCUACCCUGAACAAGCCUGAUUCCGUCUGAUCUCAGAAGCUAAGCCGGGUCGGGCCUGGUUAGUACUUGGAUGGGAGUCCACCUAAAAAAACCAGAUGCUAUAGGUG
rnacentral:rRNA from 1 species